rnacentral:rRNA from 1 species
AUUGAACGCUGGCGGCAGGCCUAACACAUGCAAGUCGAGCGAGCGGCGGACGGGUGAGUAAUAUAUGGGGACUGCCCGAUAGAGGGGGAUAACUACUGGACACGGUUGCUAAUACCGCAUACUAUCGGAUAACCCAUAUGGGAUUAGCUAGUAGGUGGGUUAAAGGCUCACCUAGGCGACGAACUCUACCUGGUCUUAGAGGAGGAUCAGCAACACUGGGACUGGGAAACGGCCCAGAUUCCUACGGAUGAAGCAUGGGGGAAUAUGGCACAAGGGUGGCAAGCCUGAUGCAGCCAUGCAGCGUGUAUGAAGAAGGCCUUAGGGUUGUAAAUUACUUUCAGCGGGGAGGCGUGACCCGCAGAAGAAGCACCGGCUAACUCCGUGACAGCAGCCGCGGUAAUUC